rnacentral:rRNA from 1 species
CAGUAGCCGCGGGAAUACGAAGGGGGCUAGCGUUGUUCGGAUUUACUGGGCGUAAAGCGCACGUAGGCGGACUUUUAAGUCAGGGGUGAAAUCCCGGGGCUCAACCCCGGAACUGCCUUUGAUACUGGAAGUCUUGAGUAUGGUAGAGGUGAGUGGAAUUCCGAGUGUAGAGGUAAAAUUCGUAGAUAUUCGGAGGAACACCAGUGGCGAAGGCGGCUCACUGGACCAUUACUGACGCUGAGGUGCGAAAGCGUGGGGAGCAAACAGGAUUAGAUACCCCCGUAGUCCCUGUCUCUUAUAC